CUCAACAUAUAUUUGAGAAAAGAUUUAACCAUGACCAUAACAUAUGAUUAGAUACUACUUUACAAUUGAUAUGCAUAUAUAUUUCUUUUAGAAGAAUCAAUGGAACCUUACGACUAAAUCAACAAAAAUAACUUAUGCUUUCAAAUAUCAGUAGAAUUUAAAACAACUAUGGCAAACAUGUGCCAAUACGCGUCUGAUUGUUUUACCCCUUCUCUAUGUAAACCCUGUAAGAAGUGGCAAAUACAAAGACAAAAUCAGUAGUAGUUGUAGAACAAAUUCAGUUAUGCGAACAGUAAGAAGAAGAUAGGCAGCUGUUGAUGUUAAGACAAAUACAAAACUCAUUGUGUGUCUCAGAAGAGGAUGGCACCUUACCACCAUAAGCAUACAUUCCAUGCCAAUAGUGUCAGCAAGAACUUUCAUGAAGCCAUGUAGGAUAUAUAUUAUUAAAGCCAAAGGCUCUACAAUUGUAGAUAAACACUAUCUGAUUUCAAUAGGGAUAUAGUAGUCAUGCAUGUAAAUGUAGUGCUUCUCAUGAGACAAAAGCUUUUCACAAUUUCCACUUGGAGAAAAGUUCUCUUACACAUCCACAACAAAUGAAUGGCAAGAAACAUAAGUGAUGUGAGCAACAUUUGUUCUUAAAGGGCAGCAUAGUCUAAAACUAUGUUCUUAGUAUUCACUACUUCCGUUUCUCAUAACGAAGAUGAAAAUUAACUGCGGUAAAAGAUUACCUUUGUCUUGGAGUUAUUAGAAGCUUUUGAAGUGGCAUAAAUUAGGCUUCCAAGAAGAUGCCUGCGAUUGAGACAUGCAAAAGAUGAUAUAUUGAUCAUGGAUCCACCUUGUCGACCAUCACGCAUGCAUGCAGAGACGUACUUUGAAACCAAUUCAGAUAUGUUAUAAUGAUGAUAUCCCAUUUAAAAACAAAACUGCCAAAUAAAAUAACUAAUGAUCAAUCGAUCAUUUAAAAACAAAACUGCCAAAUUUGGCGACAAAAAAAAGUUGUUUAAAAUUGUGUUUUCAUAUAUUAAUAGAUUAAUCAAAUGGAAAAACAUUAAGUUUCAAGUCUACAUAGAAUUAUUAUUAGAAAAUCAUAGUUUCCUCAAGACUGCUGACAAGUUAACAAUUCUUUAUUUGCAACAAUCUGUAGAUGAUAAACACUCAUUUUGCUUAGUUUAUAUGGUUUGUACUCUGCGUUUUAAGUCGAUUUUAUGCUCGUUUCAUUGUCGUUUGGAGUUUAUUGCAUAUUAAUUCAUGAUUUCACGGUCGGGUGUAGUUUUGGCUGUUUUGAUGCAGGAAUGAGUGUUUCUUGGAGCCUGAUUAGUAAGGAAUAUGUCUAAGAGAAGAUAUAUGAGAAAAUCGAGCCCGAAAAUCAAGAAAAGACGAAGAUUCUGAGCUAGGGGCGAGAAAAGGGAAAUCUCAGUGGUCAAACAGCCGUUGACUGCCGAGUUGAUAUUUUUGAAGGACAGGAUCGGCGACCAGUUCGACGGGCGCCGUUUCGGUCGCCGAAUCCCCUGGACGAAGUUAACACAUGGUUUUUGGAACUCGGCGGUCGCCGAGUUUGGAGGCAAAUGGAGAGGAAUUUCUGGAACAAAGCGACCGCCGAUCCGGGAUUUUUGACGGGUUUUUCCGGAUUUUUGAGUUAUUUUCGUUUUCAAACUUUGUUUUUACCCUAAGACUAUAAAUAGGUCUUCUUUUGACCUAUCUAGGGUUCCACACAUUAUUCUCUAGUACUAUAGCUUUAGUUUUGCAUUUGUUUUCCAGUUUUCAAGGCUUGGAUCAAGAUUGAAGAUUCAAGCCGCUACAAUUAUUCUUAUUCGAUUUUUAUAUAAUUCAGUUCUUUCAAUUGCGUUCUUAUUAAUUAUGUUUAUGCUUUCUUUCAUUAUGUCUGGCUAGUUUCGUUUAGCUUAUUCUAGGGUUUGUAAAUAGUUGAUUGAAUUUAUGUAAUUAAUUUGUUAAUACUUGUGUGCCUUCCAGUUUAUGAUUCAUAAUUUCUGGUGCUUGAAUUCUUGUGAAUUAUCUGAUCAAUAGUUUGCAUGUUUAGCUACUCGGUUUUAGACCUAACGGAGAUAAUUGUUUAACGGAUUCAGGAAUGUAUGAUAUGAUUUUAACCUUGAGACCUAGCGGAGAUAGGUGGAUCAUAGGGAGCUAUUCUUAGGAGCUAUUGGGAGUUAGUAGAUUUUCUUGAGACCUAGCGGAGAUAGAAAAUAUACUAAUCUACGAUCGUUGCUGCUCUAGCGAGAGUAAUUGAUUAAUUAAGUGAUCUCUCAUCAUAACUGGAUUAAACUGGUACAUAGGAUUAAUAGAUUAAUUGUGUAGAUUUAGUUAAUAAAUUUAAUACCCUAGGAUCAAUUGUUUUUCUUUAUUUGAUUUAAAUAUUUACUUUGUGUAUUCUUUUGUUUGCAUUUUAGUUUGAGUAAUUCGACCUCUAUUUUCUGUUGCAUGUCUACUAUUUUUAUUUACUUAGGAGAUAGCUAGAGUGAUUUCGAUAUUUCAAUCCCUGAGUACUACAAUUGCACCGUGUUAGUUGCGGUUUAGUUUCUAGAAAAAUAGUACAUCAGUAGACUGAAUGAGGACAUGCAUUUAGGCAAGAAAAUCAGUCAUAAAAGUUAGGAAAUCAUUUAGUCGGGAAAUAAUGAUACAAAUCUUGGCAUAGGAUCCAUUGCCACAACUUUCUAUUUGAUCACGCCUUGGCAUGAAAAUUACUAUCUUUUGAAAUAUAAGUCACAAAAAAUGGAAUCUCUCAUUAUACCAUAAAGGUUUCUCUCAUACUAAAUAAAUACAUAACAAAAUGAAUUCAUCUGAGAUAAUGAAAAUCUGUUGGCUAUAUGUUUCUAGCUCAGUAGCAACCUACAAAACGAAAUAGGUAUUUAUUCAAGUGAAACAAAAAUUUCAUUGUGUGACUUGUGUCACGUUGUAUUUAGUGUUGCUAGAGUACAUCAAAUUUGAUUAAAGUAGAAGAUUUAAAGUGCAUCUCGAAAUAAUUUGCAAUUUGUUAGAUUUUUCUUCUAUGCCAAAAAGUCUCCAAAACUCAAAACAAAGAUCAGAUAACUUAAACUAUAUAUGACACACAGUAAAGAUAAGCAUUGAUGUUGAGGAGGAGGAGAGUCCAUCAUUUUUGAAGAAAAAUUGGAGAAAUUUUAGCUUCUGCAAUUAUGGCCUGCAAAUUCAAGGACUAAUAUUCAUCAAGUUCCACAAAGGCCAAAUGCUAAAUUAAUUGCCAAUAUAUUAUAAUCAUGUUCACUAAAACUCCCAUUCAGAAGGAUACGAAAACUGAUACGACGUCAAAUUGGAGAAAAGGAUGGAAAAUUGAUACAACUUCACCACAAUAACGCAAAAAUAUUCUUCAGCAAAAUAUCACCUAAGUCUAACAGACCAACUAUCCAUUAGAACCCCAAAUAAUGCAAUUCUCCUAAAUUCCUCUAACAAUACAUAAACGUUUAAGAGGUUCUUCACCAAAAUCCAAAUUUAAUUAGUACUAUAAUCAAAUAUUUAAGAAUUUACCUAAUAUUACACACAAAUUGUGCAGUCUUUCUAGCAUUAUUCCUCCAAAUCGGUUGAAGAGAAAAAGAAUAAAUUCUUCGAAGAUGAGAGAUUGAAAGGGUAGAGUACUCUGGGUGAAGAGGACAUGAAGAAAUGGGAAAGAAUUUAACCUCAUUGAUAUCUUCCUUAGCGUGUAUUGAUCGUCACUAUAUGUGUGAUAUCCUGAUUCUGGUCUCACGCUCCUCAUCUAUGCUUCUUCUCCCAUUAAAAUUACUCAUCUUAUUGUUCUCCAUGAUUAUUUGAAUCUCAUUUUGUGCCUCCCAUGUUGUGCUUCAAAGGAAAAAAAAUAAAAAUAAAAAAAACAAACAAAACAAUUGUCGAAAGGAACAAUGGAGAGAAGUUAGAGAUUCUUCCAAUCCUUUGUUGAAAUAUAAACUUGAUUUUAGAAAAUAUUAAUUUGUAUAAAGAAG
rnacentral:lncRNA from 1 species